AGACGACGACGGGUAGCCGGCCUGAGAGGGCGACCGGCCACACUGGGACUGAGACACGGCCCAGAMCCCUASGGGAGGCAGCAGUGGGGAAUAUUGCACAAUGGGGGAAACCCUGAUGCAGCGACGCAGCGUGCGGGAUGACGGCCUUCGGGUUGUAAACCGCUUUCAGCAGGGAAGAAGCGCAAGUGACGGUACCUGCAGAAGAAGUACCGGCUAACUACGUGCCAGCAGCCGCGGUAAUACGUAGGGUACGAGCGUUGUCCGGAAUUAUUGGGCGUAAAGAGCUCGUAGGUGGUUGGUCACGUCUGCUGUGGAAACGCAACGCUUAACGUUGCGCGUGCAGUGGGUACGGGCUGACUAGAGUGCAGUAGGGGAGUCUGGAAUUCCUGGUGUAGCGGUGAAAUGCGCAGAUAUYAGGAGGAACACCGGUGGCGAAGGCGGGACUCUGGGCUGUAACUGACACUGAGGAGCGAAAGCAUGGGGAGCGAACAGGAUUAGAUACCCUGGUAGUCCAUGCCGUAAACGUUGGGCACUAGGUGUGGGGGGCAUUCCACGUUCUCCGCGCCGUAGCUAACGCAUUAAGUGCCCCGCCUGGGGGAGUACGG
rnacentral:rRNA from 1 species